CAGUAGCCACGGUAAUACGUAGGGUGCAAGCGUUAAUCGGAAUUACUGGGCGUAAAGCGUGCGCAGGCGGUUAUAUAAGACAGAUGUGAAAUCCCCGGGCUCAACCUGGGAACUGCAUUUGUGACUGUAUAGCUAGAGUACGGCAGAGGGGGAUGGAAUUCCGCGUGUAGCAGUGAAAUGCGUAGAUAUGCGGAGGAACACCGAUGGCGAAGGCAAUCCCCUGGGCCUGUACUGACGCUCAUGCACGAAAGCGUGGGGAGCAAACAGGAUUAGAUACCCGUGUAGUCCCUGUCCUCUUAUA
rnacentral:rRNA from 1 species